UACGUAGGGUGCGAGCGUUAAUCGGAAUUACUGGGCGUAAAGCGUGCGCAGGCGGUUCUGAAAGUCAGCUGUGAAAGCCCCGGGCUUAACCUGGGAAUUGCGGUUGAAACUACAGGGCUAGAAUCUGGCAGAGGGGGGUGGAAUUCCACGUGUAGCAGUGAAAUGCGUAGAGAUGUGGAGGAACACCGAUGGCGAAGGCAGCCCCCUGGGCUGAGAUUGACGCUUAGGCACGAAAGCGUGGGGAGCAAACAGG
rnacentral:rRNA from 1 species